GACGAACGCUGGCGGCGUGCCUAAUACAUGCAAGUAGAACGCACAGUUUAUACCGUAGCUUGCUACACCAUAGACUGUGAGUUGCGAACGGGUGAGUAACGCGUAGGUAACCUGCCUGGUAGCGGGGGAUAACUAUUGGAAACGAUAGCUAAUACCGCAUAAUAUUAAUUAUUGCAUGAUAAUUGAUUGAAAGAUGCAACUGCAUCACUACCAGAUGGACCUGCGUUGUAUUAGCUAGUAGGUGAGGUAACGGCUCACCUAGGCGACGAUACAUAGCCGACCUGAGAGGGUGAUCGGCCACACUGGGACUGAGACACGGCCCAGACUCCUACGGGAGGCAGCAGUAGGGAAUCUUCGGCAAUGGACGAAAGUCUGACCGAGCAACGCCGCGUGAGUGAAGAAGGUUUUCGGAUCGUAAAGCUCUGUUGUAAGAGAAGAACGGGUGUGAGAGUGGAAAGUUCACACUGUGACGGUAUCUUACCAGAAAGGGACGGCUAACUACGU
rnacentral:rRNA from 1 species